CUGGAGAAGAUGCCUUAUAACAUCCUGUACUCCGUGCUCAAUGCUAGGUACCCUGUUUUGAGAAGCAGAAUGCAAGAAACACCAAUGGACCAACCCCCUUCUAGAAGGAAAAGGAAAGCGGAAGCAAUUAAUUGUACUAGAAAGAAACCCACAGCUGGCUUUUCCUGAUGGCCCCACAAGCAACAAGGACUAUUGUUCAGCUUCCGGGAUAAAUGUAAAGUCAUUCUACUGCACUGUUGAGAUUUUUCUGAUUGUUUAGUUUGACUUUUCCAAGGAUAAAAAUAUGUCCAUU